rnacentral:rRNA from 1 species
UGGCUAACUCCUACGGGAGGCAGCAGUGGGGAAUUUUGGACAAUGGGGGCAACCCUGAUCCAGCAAUGCCGCGUGCGGGAAGAAGGCCUUCGGGUUGUAAACCGCUUUUGUCAGGGAAGAAAUCCUUUGGGUUAAUACCUCGGGGGGAUGACGGUACCUGAAGAAUAAGCACCGGCUAACUACGUGCCAACAGCCGCGGUAAUACGUAGGGUGCAAGCGUUAAUCGGAAUUACUGGGCGUAAAGCGUGCGCAGGCGGUCUUGCAAGACAGAUGUGAAAUCCCCGGGCUCAACCUGGGAACUGCAUUUGUGACUGCAAGGCUGGAGUGCGGCAGAGGGGGAUGGAAUUCCGCGUGUAGCAGUGAAAUGCGUAGAUAUGCGGAGGAACACCGAUGGCAAAGGCAAUCCCCUGGGCCUGCACUGACGCUCAUGCACGAAAGCGUGGGGAGCAAACAGGAUUAGAAACCCCAGUAGUCCAGCUGG